CCAGAGAGGGCGUCCCUUCCAGGGACACUGCAUUUCGGAUUUGUGCUUUAUCCUCCUCCUAGACGGGCUGAGAGUCCACAGGUGCGGCAUUCACCUUGUCUCCUGAGGCCACAGGCAUGGCGGCCAGGAGAGGAGGAGGGGGCUUCCCGCCCCGCAUGGCCCCAGGCCGUCUCCAUGGCAACAACCUCCCAGGCCCAAGGGUUCCGCAGCCUCCGCCAAUCUGAGAUGAUUGACAGCAAUGCCAUCCAAUUACAACAUUUCCUCUCUCCUUGGGGACACCGAAAAGCAGACCACCCGGGCAUACUAAGGUCAAGAUGUCGUUGAUCGGUGUCUUUGUUUUAUUGUAUUACUUGUUUUAUUUACCUAUUUACUUUCUUGGUAAAACCAGCCUGCCGGCUUGCUCAGGACAUGAACUAUGACGUCCCUGGAGGUGGUCUCUUGGGAGAGGAGCCCCCCCAGGCCAGCGAAUCCCGCUCACCUGGGGAUUAACGAGCAGGCCCAGCCAUUUCCCAGGGCCACCGGUGCUCCCUGAUCUCAGUGUCUCCGUCUGUAAAAUGGGUAUAACCAGAGCCAGCCUGUGUGGCCCUGGGGAAAGCGGCACUGAGGGCAGACCAGGUGUCCAGCAGGGUCCUGCCCCGACUCCCACGCCCCCCUCGCCGGCCCCCUCGCCGCGGUCUUGCACUCUCCACUCCCCGUGCCUGCAAAGCCUCUGCCCCGUCCCUACACCAGGCUAAUCCUUUGCACCUCAGCUCAGAGGCCCCGUCUCCAAAGCCUUCCCUGAAACUUCCUCCUUGAGACACCCACCAUCCCCACCAAGCCUGCCACACCCAGGCCUGCUAUCGCCCGUGCAGUGUCGUCCUUCUGAUAAGCUGUGGAGGGGUAAGGGGCGCCCUGGUCUCUUGUUCAUAGCCUUAAACCUAGCGCCACUCAAGUGCCGGGCACACAGCAGGUGCUCAAUAAAUACUCCUUGCUGAUUGAACGGCAACCAGCUGCAAGAGUGAAUGCAUGGAUGCCGCUUGUGGGCCUGGGUUUGGAGAUCUUAGAAACAAAGCUUCGUUUUGCCACACUCAUGCCUUCUUCUAUCACACUCAUGCCUUCUUCUACCACAAUGUCACACCCUUACAUCUUGUAUCCCUAGGGAAAUGUGGCCAGGGGCGUUUUACCAAGUUGGUCUGGGAUGACGUGAGUUAACCCUCACACUCCACAGUCAGAGAGAUGGGUAACCCAGGUGACCCAGCGCUAAGUGACAAAUACGCUCUCGGAUAGAACAGCCCAGAAAGGGCAAGAGGGAGAGUUGCAACACUCAGAUAAUUACCCUUCAGCGACGCAGUGCACUUAAGUGGUGAAAGGAGAUUCACUGGUUGGAAAAACACUCCAGGGCGAAGGGCCAGCGUGUGCAAAAGCACCGAAGCAUGAGCGAGCGCGGGCAUUCCCGCCAGCCACCAGUGGGCCACGCGUCCCAACAUGUGAGUGCCGCAAGGAUACAAGUGCCUAAUGUGAACCUCCAAGUGGACGAUCAUUCAGUACUGACUUUGGGCCUGGCCCCCUUUCCUCAUGCAAGCCUUCCAGGCAGGAACUAAGAGUGAGCCAUCCUCUACAGAAGAGAAAAGCAAGACACAGCAAGCUGAGAAACUUACCAGGGUCACCCAGUUGGUUGGAGUCAGAGAUGUGUUACGGGCAGCAGCUCCUCUGCCCGCUUACGUCUGGGCUUUGGGGGCUGGCCCAGAGAUAGUCAUAAUGCAGCCCUUUAUUCAGCACUUGCUAUGGGCCAAGUCCUUCAUUCACAAGCUCAAGUCUUCCCAACCCAGAAAGAAAGAUGGUUAGUUCCAUUUCAUGUAGGAGGAAACUGUCGAGGCUCAGAAAAUUUAAGGAAUUUACCGGUCAUCAGUAAACGAGAGUAAAGGCCUAUGUGAACCCAAAUCUGCCCUCCUCUGAAACUCUCGCUGCAGACAUCGCACCCCACUGUUUUUCAAUUUCAUCUUCUUAUUUAUUCAUUCAACCAAUAUUUAUUUACCAAAGCACUAUGAGGCCCAGUUAAGAAUGUGUGGUCCUCGAUCUGACAGCCUGGAUUCAAAUCCCUGUUGCCCCACAACUCUCCACACUAGCUGUGUGGCCUUGCAAAUUUCACUCAACCUCUCAGGGACUCAGUUUCCUUGAUUGUCAAAUGGGAGUAAUGACAUUUCCUACCUCAUUGACUUGUUGGGAGGUAGCAUUGAGUUAUCCCAUGCCGUACCUGCUCCCUUGUAAACUCUGGAUAAUUACCGAGCUUUAUUAUAAGUGCAUCUCAUGGAUCACUCAAGGCACUGGGAAUAUAGCAAUCACAACAUAGAUUCUAGUCAUGGGAGAUGGUCACCUAACAAAUUAAAAACUAAGGCAUUUGUUAAAGGACUGAAUGACCAAGAUUAGAGUUCCAAGAAAAAGUAUGGUGCUCUGGGGUGGUCAGGAGAGCCUCUGUCACUGAGUAGCAGUGUGGCCCUGUCCAAGCUCCUGGCCUGGCUAGGCCUCAUGCCCAUGUCUGCAUGGCAAGUGCCUGGAACCGGAUGGUCAUGGCAGCUUUUGCUCUGUGAAAGCCCAACUGCUCCCCUGGACUGCUCCCAUGUUUUCUGUCUCCGCCGAGCAAGCCUCUUUCAAAGCCCUAGAGAGAGACCUGGGUCCCCAGCACCCUCUCCUGGAGGAGAUCUGGACUGGAAUGUUUGGGACGCCUCCCAUUCAAAUGCUCAAGUCUCCAAACCGCUCGGGAGGCGUUGCACAAGAGACAGGCGGGGGUUUCAGUUUCUGGCACUUGUUUGCUCAAAGGAUCUCAGCCUUCUUCUUCCUGACAUGCAGCUUAAACAUGUGAGCUGACCCUUAAAUGAAACCCCCACAGUUUUCCAUCUCCUUCCAAGAGAAUUUCACGGGGUGCAGGGAGAACGGGGAGGAGGUGAAACGUGGUGUAUCCUGCAGGAUUCACUCCCCCACUGACGGGACUAAAGGUUUCUGAAGCCUGAAAUAUUUUCAACUAAAUGAGAAAAUCUUUGCUGUUGAAUGGCCUAUUAGAGCUGUCACAAAUGUGAUUUCUGGAAAUAAACAAGAUUAUAAGAAGGCUGGCUGGUGCAGAAACAGCCCGAUGGAUACACCCUGGGAGAGGCGACGGGGUGGCCCCUGUGACUUCGGGCUGCGACGCGGUGUCGUCCCCACCCCCACCCCCCUCACUCUAGAAGUAACAACGCCAUCUACUGGACAGCGGACAAACCUCCCCACCCAGGGACGGGCUUCUCUGUUUAAGGCCAUCCAAACUAGAAAGUUUAAAAAUGCGUUUAAGAGGUAGAAUACCAUAGUUUACGGAACAGAAGAACAAGAACAAAACUCUCUAAUCAAAAUCACAGGGACCCGGCAAUAUUGGUCUAUAGCAAUUUGGUUUUUGGGGGUUUUUUUUGUUGUUGUUUCGGGGGCGGGGAGGGAGUUGGUUUUGGUUUUUUGUUUUUGUUUUUGUUUUUGUUUUGAGACGGUCUCACUCUGUCAUUCAGGCUGGAGUGCAGUAGUGCGAUCUCCACUCAAUGCAGUCUGGACCUUCUGGGCUCAAGCGACCCUCCUGCCUCAGCCUCCCGAGCAGCUGGGAACACAGGCGCACACCACCACGCCCGGCUAAUUUUUCAAUUUUUUAUAGAGACAGGGCAUUGCUAUGUUUCCCAGGCUGGUCUCAAACUCCUGAGCUCAAGCGAUCCUCCCGCCUCGGCCUCUCAAAGUGCUGGGAUUACAGGCAGGAGCCACCACGCCUGGCCUAUAGCAAUUUUGAAAACUGGCUCAAGCCCAUUCCUCUAUCCCCUGACAUAACCCCCCAAAGAGAAGACUUUUUAAAAAGGUAAGAAAACUGUUUUUUUUUUUUUUUUCAUUUUUAAGAGUUUUCUAUUAGCUAUAAAUUUCUGGAGUAAGAUUUGGUUCCACCUAGUCAGCUCCCACAUUUUUCUCCCCAUCAUCCUUGGGGCUAAGGUAUAGGAGAGCUGGGUAGAGACAUACACACACUCACACACACGCGCACACACACACGCACACACACGUGCGCGCGCGCACACACGCACAGACACACACGUGCGCACACACACGCACCCAGACACACGCGUGCGCACAUACACGCACACACAUGCACCCAGACACGCACACACGCGCACACAGACACGCACACGCGCACACACACACAGAAACACUCCUUGGGAUGGAGCUCUUUAAUCCUCCUGGACCCUGAACGCUUUGGUGAAAACAAGCGUACAAAACUAGGAUAACCCAAAUAUUAUUCUAAAUUCUUUUUUUCAGUCGCUUAAGCAAAACAACUUUCAUUUUUGAAGUUUAUGUAAUUUUUCCUUAUAAAUAUCAUCACAUUCCACGAUACAUCUGUCCGAUGUCGAUUUCUGGACUUUCUUACGCAAAUAACCAUCCUGCCUUCCUGCUCCUUUUCCCUCCUAACUGACCAUUAGAUUUGCCUUGAAAUUCCAUAUUAAUUGCUUUAUCCUGGAAAUGAAAGGCAGGGUAUUCUUUUCACAGAGAACUCCACAGUUUCAUAAUUGCCUACACUACUUGGACUAGUUUCGUGGAAAGGAAGGGACUCAACUGUGGCCUAGCACAUUAACAUAUGUUUUCUUUGCAGUCCUCUCAAUAAUUUGACAAGACGUGCAGAAGAUUUUAAAAAGGCAAUUUAUAUUAACAAAUAAAAAUUACAAUUAAAUUUACCGAGUAUUACAAUUCACCCAUUUUAAGAGAGAAAUUUUUUUAACUG